AUACCAUAAGAACACUCAAAGAGCCCUAUGGAGAGAAUCUAUCUCAUGGCAAGGAAAUGUGGAUUCCUGCCAACAGCCACUGAAGAACUGAGGCCUUCCAGCAAAUAACCACUGAGUGAGCCAAAUUGGGAGUGAAUCUUCCAGCACCAAUGAAUCCUCAAAAUGACUACAGCCCCAGCUGACAUCUUGAAUGCCACCUCAUAACAGAUCCUGACCUGGAGCCAUCCUGCCAAGCUGCUCCCAGAUUCCUGACCCUCAGAAACCAUAUUAUGGGCUAAUUGUCACCUGCUACACGUGGAAGGAAGAGAUGUUCAGCAUGGCACUGAUCAAUGUGUAUAUUAACUGGGAAGUUUACCUCCAGGAGAAAAGAGAAAACCAGCUGUGUGAAUGGAAUUUGGAGAAAGGUAUUUGGAUUGUAAUUAGAUGCAUGACAUUGGAAGCCUCUUGAUAUAAAUUUGAAGACUCUCCGUGUAUACAGGCAUUUCUCUGCAGACUGGCACAUGACUUCUU